rnacentral:rRNA from 1 species
UACGUAGGGGGCUAGCGUUGUCCGGAAUCAUUGGGCGUAAAGAGCGUGUAGGCGGUCCGGUAAGUCCGCUGUGAAAGUCGGGGGCUCAACCCUCGAAUGCCGGUGGAUACUGUCGGGCUUGAGUACGGAAGAGGCGAGUGGAAUUCCUGGUGUAGCGGUGAAAUGCGCAGAUAUCAGGAGGAACACCAAUUGCGAAGGCAGCUCGCUGGGACGUUACUGACGCUGAGUACGCGAAAGCGUGGGGAGCAAACAGG